UACGAAGGGGGCUAGCGUUGCUCGGAAUCACUGGGCGUAAAGCGCACGUAGGCGGACUCUUAAGUCAGGGGUGAAAUCCUGGAGCUCAACUCCAGAACUGCCUUUGAUACUGAGAGCCUUGAGUCCGGAAGAGGUAAGUGGAACUGCGAAUGUAGAGGUGAAAUUCGUAGAUAUUCGCAAGAACACCAGUGGCGAAGGCGGCUUACUGGUCCGGUACUGGACGCUGAGGUGCGAAAGCGUGGGGAGCAAACAGGG
rnacentral:rRNA from 1 species